rnacentral:rRNA from 1 species
GAUGAACGCUGGCGGCGUGCCUAAUACAUGCAAGUCGUGCGAACAGAUGAGGUGCUUGCUCCUCUGACGUUAGCGGCGUACGUGUGAGUAAAAUGUGGAUAACCUACCUAUAAGACUGGGAUAACUUCGUGAAACCGGAGCUAAUACCGUAUAAUAUAUUGAACCGCAUGGUUCAAUAGUUAAAGACGGUUUUGCUGUCACUUAUAGAUGGAUCCGGGCCGCUUUAGCUAGUUGGUAAGGUAACGGCUUACCAAGGCAACGAUGCGUAGCCGACCUGAGAGGGGGAACGGCCACACUGGAACUGAGCCACGGUACAGACACCUACGGGAGGCAGAAGUAGGGAAGGGUCGGCGAUGGGGGAAAGACUGAAGGAGCAACGCAACGCUAGUGAUGAAGGUCUUCGGAUCGUAUAACUGUGUUAGGAGGGAAGACCAAAUGUGGAAGUAACUAUGCACGUCGUGACGGUACCUGAACAGAAAGCCACGGCUAACUACGUG